rnacentral:pre_miRNA from 1 species
AUAAUACUCCCUCCGUCCGGAAUUAGUUGUCAUCAAAAUGGAUGUGUCUAGAACUAAAAUACAUAUAGGUACAUCCAUUUCAAUGACAAGUAUUUUCGGACGGGGGGAGUAGUAG